UACGAAGAGGGCUAGCGUUGCUCGGAAUGACUGGGCGUAAAGGGCGCGUAGGCGGAUGGUACAGUCAGAUGUGAAAUUCCCGGGCUUAACCUGGGGGCUGCAUUUGAUACGUAUUGUCUUGAGUUCGGAAGAGGGUCGUGGAAUUUCCAGUGUAGAGGUGAAAUUCGUAGAUAUUGGAAAGAACACCGGUGGCGAAGGCGGCGACCUGGUCCGACACUGACGCUGAGGCGCGAAAGCGUGGGGAGCAAACAGG
rnacentral:rRNA from 1 species